AAAAGUCGUAACAAGGUUUCCGUAGGUGAACCUGCGGAAGGAUCAUUACAGAGAACCUCGCCCUUCUGGGUGAAUCUCCAACCCUAUGUUAUAUUACUUUGUUGCUUUGGCGAGCCGCUAAGGCCACUGGCUUACGCUGGUGAGUGCUCGCCAGAGAACCCUAAAUUCUAAGUUAUUAGUGUUGUCUGAGUACUUUAAAAUAGUUUAAAACUUUCAACAACGGAUCUCUUGGUUCUGGCAUCGAUGAAGAACGCAGCGAAAUGCGAUAAGUAAUGCGAAUUGCAGAAUUCAGCGAGUCAUUGAAUUUUUGAACGCAUAUUGCGCCCUGUGGUAUUCCGCAGGGCAUGCCUGUUCGAGCGUCAGUACAACCCUCAAGCUUAGCUUGGUUUUGAGCCCCGCCAGUGACUCGGCAGGCUUUAAAAUUAGUGGCGGCGCCNUUAGGCUCUUAGCGUAGUAAUACCUCUCGCUAUUGAGACCCUGUGGUAUGCUGGCCAGCAACCCCAACUUUCUAAGUUUGACCUCGGAUCAGGUAGGGAUACCCGCUGAACUUAAGCAUAUCAAUAA
rnacentral:rRNA from 1 species